UACGGAGGGUGCAAGCGUUAUCCGGAUUCACUGGGUUUAAAGGGAGCGCAGGCGGAUUUGUAAGUCAGUGGUGAAAGGCUUAAGCUUAACUUGGGAACUGCCAUUGAUACUAUAAGUCUUGAAUGUUGUUGAGGUUUGGGAAUGGGUCAUGUAGCGGUGAAAUGCAUAGAUAUGACCCGGAACACCUAUUGCGAAGGCAGCAGGCUAAACAAAUAUUGACGCUGAGGCUCGAAAGCGUGGGGAUCAAACAGG
rnacentral:rRNA from 1 species